rnacentral:rRNA from 1 species
CCUACGGGAAGCAGCAGUGAGGAAUAUUGGUCAAUGGGAGAGAUCCUGAACCAGCCAAGCCGCGUGAGGGAAGACGGCCCUAUGGGUUGUAAACCUCUUUUGUCGGAGAACAAAACCCGGGACGUGUCCCGGACUGCGUGUAUCCAAGAAAAAGCAGCGGCGAACUCCGUGCCAGCAGCCGCGGUAAUACGGAGGAUGCGAGCGUUAUCCGGAUUUAUUGGGGUUAAAGGGUGCGUAGGCGGUCCGUUAAGUCAGCGGUAAAAUUGCGGGGCUCCACCCCGUCGAGCCGUUGAAACUGGCAGACUUGAGUUGGCGAGAAGUACGCGGAAUGCGCGGUGUAGCGGUGAAAUGCAUAGAUAUCGCGCAGAACUCCGAUUGCGAAGGCAGCGUACCGGCGCCAGACUGACGCUGAGGCACGAAAGCGUGGGGAUCGAACAGGAUUAGAUACCCGAGUAGUC